GAAUACUUUGUUGCCAUCAAGAAUGUUUAGGAGUGAUGGAACCUGAAGACUGAAUGCAGACCUCUCUAAGCUCACCAAGUUCAUGCUCACUAAGCUUGCAUGCUGUGGAUGAUCUUUUCUAACAUACUUGAGAUGUAUCUGAGUAGCGAGGCCCCCUGCACACACAGCCCCUAGAAAUCGUUGUUUGCAUCGCUGAGUCUCGGUGAGUUGUCUCUAUCCUAUUGCAUUUAAUUGGAUUGUGUUGCAGUUCUAUCUUCUUCACUGGGGAGU
rnacentral:lncRNA from 1 species